rnacentral:lncRNA from 1 species
AUUCCAUCCUCCGGGUGUUUGUCACAGUUCAGCAUCCAAGCUGAAUCUCUAGUUACCAUGGAUGGAGAUGACCUUUCCUGGCUAUGCUAGCCAGCUUUCUGACCUCAAAAAAAACACCAGCAUUUAAGAUAUUGAGGGUCAGAAAAAUAUCAAGAACAGGCAGCUGAUUCUCAGGUGUCAAGCUCAAAAUCAGCAAGAAUCGGGUAGCAGAUGCAGAAGUCUGACUGGGAGCGAGAUCCCUCUCCCCUCUCCACCACGCACUAGGAGUGGAUACUAAAGCCAGAGGAAGGCUGACAACAUGAGGUGUUUCACAAAGGACAACAGGACGACAAGAGCUACCCUCAUCAUACAGAGAUCAAAAAGUAACCAGACGACAUGAGAGCCCUUCCCAACUCCAGCUAAGUGUCAGUGAGAAGGGACAAGUCGCAGCAGGGCUUUUCCCUGAGUUUGUGUGGAAGGAACAAGAACCGUUCUCUCUAUCAGGAACAACAGAUAACCAGAGCCAGAAAGAACACUUCUGUUAUCAGAAUGAUGCUCUACCACACACAUCUAUCUGAUCUUGACCACUAGAAUGAAGCUCACCCUCACUGUCAAGUGCCAGGUUUGAGAGCAGGGCAUCCGAACUGGCCUUUCAAUCCUAGGGCCCUCUUCCCUACUGUUUCCAAACCAACUAAGCCAAAACUGUAGUUCUGGUGAGGCUGUUGAGAAGACUCAGAGGUUAAAAGUACUUGCUGCUCUAUGGAGGACUCAGGUUCAGUUCCCAACACCCAUAUGAUCGCUCAUGAUCAUCUACAACUCCUGUUGCAGUGACUCUAGUGCCCUCUUCUGGCCUCUACAGGCUUCUGCAUGCCCGUGGUGCAUAUAAACUCAUACAGGAGAAUACACAUAUACAUAAAGUAAGUAUCAGA